UCCUCCCUCUGGCGGCAGGCUUAACACAUGCAAGUCGAAGGGUGACGCGCUCUAAUGUUUGGUUGGUGUGGAUGAGGGGCGAACGGGUGGUGAACACGUGAGAAACAUGCCCCCUUCUUCUGGAUAACCGCAUGAAAGUGUGGCGAAUAAGGGAUAUUCUCCGCCCGCUAAAUGGUGGGUGUGGGAUAGAAUGUGCAUCUGGGUGGUUUCGGGGGGGGAUGGGCUUGCGGCCUAUCAGCUUGUUGGCGGGGUGAUGGCCUACCAAGGCAGUGACGGGUAGGCGGUCUGAGAGGGUGGUCCGUCACAUUGGGACUGAGACACGGUCCAGACUCCUACGGGAGGCAGCAGUGGGGAAUAGUGGUCAAUGGGCGCAAGCCUGAUCCAGCGACGCCGCGUGAGGGAUGGAGGCCCUCGGGUUGUGAACCUCUUUUGACAGUGAAGCAGGGCUGGUCCCUGUUGUUGUGUUGACGGUAGCUGGUGAAUAAGCGCCGGCUAAGUACGUG
rnacentral:rRNA from 1 species